GACGUAGGGCGCGAGCGUUGUCCGGAUUUAUUGGGCGUAAAGAGCUCGUAGGCGGCUUGUCGCGUCGACUGUGAAAACCCGAGGCUCAACUUCGGGCUUGCAGUCGAUACGGGCAGGCUAGAGUUCGGUAGGGGGAGACUGGAAUUCCUGGUGUAGCGGUGAAAUGCGCAGAUAUCAGGAGGAACACCGGUGGCGAAGGCGGGUCUC
rnacentral:rRNA from 1 species